rnacentral:rRNA from 1 species
UUGGCAGAAACAAGGCUACCCACGCACCCGCUAGCCCGCCAGAUAACUACGAGUAAAAACUUAAAAUUCAAAGGACUUGACGGUGUCCCACACACAACCUAGAGGAGCCUGUCCUAUAAUCGAUAAUCCACGAUAAACCCCACCACUUUUUGCCAAACAAUCUAUAUACCGCCGUCGAAAGUCUACCUUUUGAAAGAAAAAGAGUGAACAAGAGAGCCCCCCCCGCUAAUAUGACAGGUCAAGGUGUAGUUAAUAAAGUGGUUAGAGAUGGGCUACACUUCCUUAAUAAAGGAAAAACGAACAGCCUAAUGAAACCAGGCUAGAAGAUGGAUUUAGUAGUAAAGUCGGAUUAGAAAGCCCACUUGAACACACUGCCCUGGGACG